rnacentral:rRNA from 1 species
UGGGGAAUAUCGGACAAUGGGCGCAAGCCUGAUCCAGCCAUGCCGCGUGUGUGAAGAAGGCCUUUUGGUUGUAAAGCACUUUAAGCGAGGAGGAGGCUACUUGGAUUAAUACUCUAGGAUAGUGGACGUUACUCGCAGAAUAAGCACCGGCUAACUCUGUGCCAGCAGCCGCGGUAAUACAGAGGGUGCGAGCGUUAAUCGGAUUUACUGGGCGUAAAGCGUGCGUAGGCGGCUUCUUAAGUCGGAUGUGAAAUCCCUGAGCUUAACUUAGGAAUUGCAUUCGAUACUGGGAAGCUAGAGUAUGGGAGAGGAUGGUAGAAUUCCAGGUGUAGCGGUGAAAUGCGUAGAGAUCUGGAGGAAUACCGAUGGCGAAGGCAGCCAUCUGGCCUAAUACUGACGCUGAGGUACGAAAGCAUGGGGAGCAAACAGG